UGCGAAGACUCGGGGUGCCCUUCAUGUAUGUGAAGGCUGAGAAAUACCCGUAUUACCUGAUCUGGAUAAUACCAGCGUAGGGAAGUCUUGGCGUCCUGAC
rnacentral:ncRNA from 1 species